rnacentral:rRNA from 1 species
UACGGGGGGGGCAAGCGUUGUUCGGAAUUACUGGGCGUAAAGAGCGCGCAGGCGGUCGGAUAAGUCGAAUGUGAAAGCCCCCGGCUCAACUGGGGAGGGUCAUUCGAUACUGUUCGACUCGAAGGCAGGAGAGGGAAGUGGAAUUCCCGGUGUAGUGGUGAAAUGCGUAGAUAUCGGGAGGAACACCAGUGGCGAAGGCGACUUCCUGGCCUGUUCUUGACGCUGAGGCGCGAAAGCUAGGGGAGCAAACGGG